rnacentral:lncRNA from 1 species
CAUCAUCAUUAUCACCAUCAUCAUCAUCACCUUCAUUAUCACCAUCACCAUCAUCGCCACCACCAUCAUCAUUAUCACCAUCAUCACCGCCACCACCAUCGUCAUCACCACUAUCAUCAUUAUCACCUUCAUCACCAGCACCAUCAUCAUUAUCACCAUCAUCACCACCACCACCAUCGUCAUCCCCACUAUCAUCAUUAUCACCUUCAUCACCACCACCAUCAUCAUUAUCACCAUCAUCAUCAACAUAUUCAAAUCAAACCAGCUUAGAUUACAUCAAAACAUCAUGUAACCUUACACUCUACAAAACCCUUUGCUACAACUCUCUAUAUCCUUACGCCUCAACAGUCCAUUCCAACCCUCACAAACUCGCCGUCA